UCACAUCAUUAAUAUAUAACGGAGUUCUGUACAAAAUAGUUAAAUAAUUACAUCAUAUGAAGACAACGAUCCAGCAACCAUAGUUGACUAGGAGAUGACGACCUCGACCACUGACGAACUCAUCACAGCAUCUGUCAUGUGCCUCAUCCUAUGGUACCUGUUCUUGACCUGGGGGGAUGUGAGUACAGCAAGGGUGAGCUCUCAUACGUUCAUCGCUCAACAAGUUGUGGGAAAUAAUGUGCAUGAACUCACCAAAGGUGGGAGCUCUGUGAAAUGUAAGGCUUACCAAAGGAGAUGGUUAAAGCUGAGCAUUGCUUUUAAAGUUGGUUAAAAUUUUAUUAGCAGUUACUAAGUAUAAGUAGAUACCAACCCAAUUAAGUAAGAGAUCACAAUUAAUAAUAACACCCACAAUGCAAUGUGUAUGACAAAUUAAGUUUAGUUCCAUAAUUUAAUCAUGCGAGAGUCCUGAGUCGCUCUUCACCGUGAGCAUGACCGAUAUACCAGUUUUACACUCUGUAACUCUCCAAAAUCCUAUUCUGGAUAAAUUAGGAAAACUCAUUUCAUGAUUUAAAUAAAUGUGUUUUCAAAUAACAGAUUACCUAAAAGAUUCUUACGUGAACUAUCGUGUGUGUUAAAGAUUUAUUUAACAAAAAAAAAUUAAGUUAAACUAUCUCUUAACAUAGAUUUUACAUAAGAAAUUAUAUCAUUUAAAUAAAUAUGGGAAGAUUAUAAAUUUAUUUUAUUGUACCUCUAAAAUAUGGCUAUGUGUUUGAAUUAUUUUCUUUAAUAUUAUUAUUGUAAAACAUCUUACAUGAAUUAUUUCUACUAAUUUUCAUUUGCUUAAAUGAAUAAAUUAAUUAAUAAAAAUGCUUUGCAUUCAUGUUGAGUUUUUGUUUGUUGCAAUUUAUGCUUGAAAUAGAAAAUUUAACUCAUCUCUAAAUUAGACUUGAAUUUUAAAUUUAAAAUAGAAAGCAAAAAUUAUAAAUAUAAGCUAAUAUAAUGAAUUGAUGUAUGUUUGGUUGGUUCAUUUGUAUACGACGUCCUUUAGGUAAAGUUGAUACAAAUUAGGGUAUCACAAUAAGAUAUUUAAGAAAACACUCUUUUCAGCUCGCGUGUAACACCCAAAAAAUUAAUUUAAAAAUUAUCAUGUAACAAAUUUAGGUUCGAGUUUGUUAGAGUUCCUAAUAUACAGGAUAUGGUUGUAAUAGAUAAGUACCAGAUUAGAUAUAUCAUGUAACCGCCCACCUCCUAGCCUAUAUAAAUACAUGCCACCAUAACACCUCAAGCCAUCAAUUAAAGACUCAUCUCAUCCAUAGCCUCGCAGCAGCCACCGCUCACCGGUGGGCCUGCCACCGCGAGCAGGAUGCCACAACCCUGUUCCAGCGUGAACAGGAUCGUGGGGAGAGAAACGACCCUGGCCGUUGAUCCGGUGAUGAGCGCACAAUUGAAUCUCAAAUACCCCAUCGUGAUCGAAAAUCGUAGUCGUUGAUCUUGGAUCUGUUGGCCGAGAUCAGAUCGCGGGAUCCUUUAAUCUCGAUCAUUGAUUUUAGAUCCGACAACUAUGACGGGAUCGGUCGCGUACUGAUUCGGCCGAGGCCGUGGGCCGGCCGAUUCAAUCUGGAGGGGGAAAUUCGAUUUGCUAUCAUAAAAUCUCUAUCGUCGAUCUUCAAUCCAAUGAUCGAGACUUCGAUCUAAUCUACACCGUAGACUAUCGAUCCAACGGUCUACAAAAGCCAACACCCUUUCGGCCAUCUACUUUUGCAAAAGAGACCCAAUGCUCUAUAUUAAUAAACCCGCCGUCCACCUAUGCGGUAAGAUGAUUACCUAGCAGUCCCUGUGAAUUGCAAAUAAGUCCCUAGACUCGAUUUAAUUAUAAAAAUGACCGAAAAAUAAAUUAAUCCCUAUAUUGCUCGUUUUAACUCAGAUUUGGUCUGUUCAAGUUGCGUUAGUCUCGUAUUAAAUUGGUCUACACAGUAACAACAUUAUUUACAACAUAUUACUUACUUUUAUAUUGUUUAUCCUAUGAUUAUUUAUUUGUCUUGCUAAUCAAAGUUAAUUGUCCAUGAUUAUAACAUGACUAAAAAUACAACGUAUAAUCAAGUUAUAUCUCGGAUUAAAUUUGGGUUAAUUAUUUCUCACCUAAUUUAUAUUAAGUAACAUAUAAUAUAUCUUUUAUUGUUUAAUCACCUAGAUCUUUGGAAAAUCAUAUCUUCUUAACCGUAACUCCGAUUUUAGUGGUUCUCAAGCCCACGAUCUCGUAGCGACGCGUAGAUUAUUAUUACGCAGUUUGUUAUCAUGUUUGGUGUGAAGUUAAUUUUGCCUAUACAAUGUUUGUAUGUAUUGCUAUGACUAGCAGUGAGGUCACGAGUCACCUGAGGAGCAAGUUGGUACCUGGAAUCUCAAGUCCCAGACAAGUUGUGCCCUUGAUCACUUCUUUCUAUCCAGUCAUGUUCUGAUUAAUCAUAAUGAUCUGUAUAGGUUAAUUUUGAUGGGACCCAAUAGGUUACCCUAGUUUGAUUAUCUUUAUACCUUGUUUAUCACUGAAUUUUUGGGUAGUACCUGCUAUUACUUUAUGUGGUUUUGGGUAUAGAGAUACACAUCACUAUUCAUGAUUAUACUUUUAUCAGUUGUUAUUUACUGUUCAUGUUAAGAUCAUUAUGUUAAUUGGAACAUGGUGAACCACCCGGGAAAACAGGCUACCACAAGGGAGGAAUGGGACCCCUUAGCUGAUUAAUUAGGAAAGCUAGUGGAUGACUACCUUACCUGAAAGGGGCAAGGGCAGUAGGGGAUUGGUCAGUGUAGGGAGGUCCUCGGGUUGAUUUUGCUGCGAUGGCGGUCAAACGAGGGAUUCCUGCAUUGGAGCUUCCUAUACUGUAGCGGGUUUUUUGAAGCUAGUGGAACUUUGUAAAGGCCUCGUAGUGUUACCCUGCCUCGCCUCCUUGGUAGAGGUGUAUGGGAUUGGCCGUCUCUUGGCAGAUGCGUAACAUGACUUGUGGGUAAAGAUGUGCAACCUCUGUAGAGUGUAAAACUGGUAUACUAGCCGUGCUCACGGUCAUGAGCAGCUCAGACACUCACAUGAUUAAUCUAUGAAACUAAAUUCAAUUUGUCAUAUGCAUUGCAUUGCAGGUGUUGUUACUACUUUUGUUCUACUACUUAAUUGGGUUGGUAUUUACUUAUAUUUAGUAACUGCUAAUAAAAUUUGACCAACUUUAAAAGUAAUGCUCAGCUUCAACCAUUCUCUUUGGUAAGCCUUACACUUCACGUGAUCUCCCUCCUUUGGCGAGUUCAUUCACAUUAUUCCCCACAAUUUGUUGAGCUAUGAAUGUAUGUGAGCUCACUCUUGCUGUCUCACACCCCCACAGGUCAAGAACAGGUACCACAAGAUGAGGCGCAUGGAGGAUGUUGUGACGAGUUCGUGAGAGGUCUAGGCCGUCGUCUCUCAGUCAACUUUGGGUUGCUGGACCGUUGUCUCCUUAUAAUGUAUUUAUUUAUUUAUUUAUUUUGUAUCGAACUCUUGUUAUGUAGUAAAGAUGUGACAUUCGAUCAUGUGCCAUGAUUCAUCAUAUGUGUGAGACUUGGUCCCAGCACACCUGGUGAUUAUGUUCGCGCCCGGGUCUUGGUGCACCGAAACCCGGGUGUGACACAGAGCUUGCGCCCUUUAACCACAAGUCGUGUUACCCAUUUGCCAAGGGAUCGUGACUUUCCCAUUCAUCUCUAUCGAGGAGACGAGGUAGGGUAGCACUACGAGUCCUUUACAAAGUUCCACUAGCUUCAGAAAACCCGCUACAGUUUCUGAGAAGUGCAAUAUAGGAAUUCCUCGUUCAAAAAUCCAUCGCAGCAUGAUCGACCCGAGAACCUCCCUAUACGCAGCUCCUCUACCGCCCUUGCCCCUUCGGGUAAGGUAGUCCUCCACUAGUUUUCCUAAUUAGUCAGCCAAGGACGUACCAUUCCACCCUUGUGGUAGCACGGAUAUCUCAAGUUAAGCUCCAUGUUCCAAUUAACAUAAUGAUCUUGUCAUGAACAAUAAUUAAAAUAACAGCAUAACUGGAACAUGAUUAUAAUGUAACAUUAAUCCCAAAGCCAGGUAGAGCAAUAGCAAAACUAUCCAAAAGUUCAAUGGUAAACAAGGUGUGGGAUAAACAAAUCUAGGGAAAAUUAUUAGGUCCUAUCGAAUUAACCUAAGCAUGUCACAGUAAUUAACAUGAACAUUAUUGGAUAAAGAGAAAACUGAUCAAGGGCACAACUUGCCUUAGACUUGAGACCUCAGGUACCAAGUUGGUCUUCAGAUUCCUGUGACCUCACCGCUAUUCGUAGCAAUACAUACAAAUAGACAAAAAUCACAUAAAAAUAACGGUACACCAAACAUGAGAACAAACAACGUAAGAAUAUUCUACGCGCUGCUACGAAAUCACAUGUUUGAGAACCACUAAAAUCAGAGUUACGGUUAGAAAGAUAUGAUUUUUCGAAGUUCUACGUGAUUAAACAUUGACUAUAUUAUAAAUUGGUUAGUAUACAUCAUAUGAGAAAAUAUAUUCUAAAUAAUUAAUUCAACUUUAAUCUAGAUUAUAACUUGUUUAGAAAUCAUAUUAUAGUCAAAUUAUAAUUAUAGACAUGUCAACCUUGAUUAGUAGAAUAAAUCUACUACUCAUAGGAUAAACAAAUAUAAAGGUAUGUGAUAUAGGAAAAUAAGGUUUGCUAUUGUGUAGAAAAUUUUAUUACAAAGGCAGGCAACUGGAACAGACUAAAACAGAGUUAAAACGAGUAGGUUAUGGAAUUUACAAGUUUCUAUUCAUUUUUACAUUGAUUUUAUACCUUAAAAUAGACCCCAGGGAUCUAUUUAGAAAGUUUAGGGCUGGUUUGCAAUUUUAAAAGUUAACCCGAGGGCUUUGCUGUGAAAACCUAAGGGUCAUUUUAUAACAACGAGGACCUAUUUAAAAGUCUCACUAAUAGAACUUGGACGACGGGUUAGAUCUUUAUAAGACCGGGGCAUUUUUGCAAACAAACCCACCGAAGGGGUAUGGAGCUUUUCUGGCCGUGCGAUCAUAAAUCGACGGUCCCGAUUAAAAGGGCCAUCCACCGAACCGGUAUGUAGUGCUAGACGUCGAUCCUGUUAUCGAUGGAUCGAAUUUAAUGGUCGAAGCCGUACGUGUAUUCUAAUCCUAGCCCUUCAUCUAUUAACCGACGACCAUGAUUCACUUUACCAAAACGAUAUCCAAAAUCUAUUCUGAGUCGUUGAACGGGAGAUCAAUGCCUCCCCCUUCACCAACCCCUGCUACCGAAAACGGCGGCGACGCCAUGCUCAGGUGGCGGAGCAUCACCGGCGCCCACCCAAAUCGGUCCCAGCGCACCUUAAUAACACCAACAAAAAUAGGUGCAGGGAAUACCGCUAAUACGUGAAGUACGAACUCACCAGUGAUUGGUGGUGCGAAGUCGCUUGCCACGACGUGGUAUGGUGUGCCCACCAAUCCAGAGCUCCGAUGAGCAAUCGACGAUGGUUUGGGAACACCUGCGCCCCCGAAUCACUCCGUACGCCUUCCUUGUGUCCACUGCUUCCUCUUGAAUGGAUCGUCGGACGAAUUCUGGCAGUGUGGGCGAGCGACGAUGGUUGCGGUCGGGUGCUUCUCCUAUGGCAGCAACGUGCCCUCUCUCUGCUAUGGUGAUGGUGUUUUCUAGAUGUUUUGGUGUGACCGGACGAGAGGGAGCUCUGAGAUAUUUAUAUAGUCACAAGAAAUCGUAUUCUAACAACCCCAAGGCGAAUCCUAUCUAGCUCCCGAAGCACACGCGCGACAUGAGAUUGCCAGC
rnacentral:lncRNA from 1 species